GGAUGUGAGGGCGAUCUGGCUGCGACAUCUGUCACCCCAUUGAUUCGGCUGAUUUGGCUGGCUAGGCGGGUGUCCCCUUCCUCCCUCACUGCUCCAUGUGUGUCCCUCCCGAAGCUGCAUGCUUGGUUGAAAAGGAUGACCUUCCCCACUAGAGGAGGACCGGUCUUCGGUCAAGGGUAUACAAGUAGCUGCACUCCCCUGCUAGAACCUCCAAACAAGGUCUCAAGAAUGGCUUUUAAACAGAAAUCAACAAACAACAAUUGCUGGCAAGGAUGUGGGGGAAACAUUACACUAAUCCACUGUUGGUGGGAAUGU
rnacentral:snRNA from 1 species